AGAGAGGUGUCCGAGUGGUUUAAGGAGCACGCCUGGAACGCGUGUGUGGGGUAACACUCACCGAGGGUUCGAAUCCCUUCCUCUCUGCCA
rnacentral:tRNA from 1 species